AUGGAGAGGAAGCUGAGAGCUGUGCUGGGGGCUCUGUGGGUGCAGAUUUGCUGGGUGAGAGGAGCUGAGGUGGAGCAGAGUCCUUCAGCCCUGAGUCUCCACGAGGGAAAAAGUUCUACUCUGUCAUGCAACUUUUCUAUCACUAUGACAACUGUGCAGUGGUUCCGGCAGAAUUCCAGAGGCAAUCUCAUCAAUAUUUUCUACCUGGCUCCAGGAAGAAAGGAGAAUGGGAGGUUAAAUUCAACAUUUGACUCCAAGGAGCGUUACAGUACCCUGCACAUCAGGGAUGCCCAGCUGGAGGACUCAGGCACCUACUUCUGCUGUGGGAACAGUGGAAGCGGCAGCUACAAACUGACAUUUGGAAAAGGAACUCUCUUAACUGUGACUCCAAACAUCCAGGACCCAAAACCAGCUGUGUACCAGCUAAGAGAUGCUCAGGCCAAGAACAGCACCAUCUGCCUGUUCACCGACUUCGGUUCCCACGUCAACAAGUCAGAGGACGUGCCACCUGGUGUGUUUGUCUCCAACAACACCGUGCUGGACAUGCGGUCUAUGGAUUCCAAGAGCAACGGGGCCAUUGCCUGGAGUAACCACAGUAGUUUGAACUGUAAAGACGCCUUCAAACAGAACGCCGCCUACCCCAGCUCAGAUGUUCCCUGCGAUGCCAAGUUGAUAGAGAAAAGCUUUGAAACAGAUAUGAACCUCAACUUUCAAAACCUGUCAGUGAUGGGACUCCGAAUCCUGCUCCUGAAAGUGGCCGGAUUUAACCUGCUCAUGACGCUGCGGCUGUGGUCCAGUUGAGGUUUCCAGACUGAAGGAGGCUGAACUCCCAAGCUCCUUUCUCUUCAUCACCCCUCCUCGCCCUCUUCAAGCGGAAAAAGAGCCCGCCCACCUCCUAAAGAAGGCUCUGAGCAGCUCACAACCCCAUCAACUGGAUCUCCUGAAUCUGUGAUGGAGACUGAAGAGCCGCUGCUACCCCACUUCCUCACUGCUGCCGCCCACACAAGACAGGCAGGGGCUGCUGCUUCUCCUGGAUGUGAAGACCCUUCAUACACACCCCUGCUCUCCCCCACCCCCACCCCGCGACUGCAGUUCCUCGUGAAUGUUGUAAAGAGCAUGUUUUUGUUUUUGCUUCUUUUAAAGCAUCCAUAAAGAAAUACACAUUACUCUUUCCUCAAGGCGUAGAAAACUUAACUCCUUGUCUAGACCCUCCCUGCUCCUGUGUGUGUGAGCUGUACAUCGCUCUGCUGUGUAUGGCUUCAUUAAAGAU